UUGGAGUUAGUGUGCUGGAAUGUUAGAGGUCUUAACAAUCCAGCCAAGAGGAAGGCCCUUAGAGGGUUCGUGCAAUCUGUCCAUGCGGCGAUCGUUUGUAUUUUAGAAACUAAGUUAGAAGUGGUGGACAAGUAUGUAACCUUGCAAUGCAUGGGACCUAAUUAUGAUGGUUUCACUUACUUACCGGCGUCGGAGACUAGAGGAGGCAUUUUUGUGGCUUGGGACACCACGAGGGUUCGGUUGACGAAUUAUCUCAAUGACUCCCACAUCGUUACUGCUUAUGUUUCGCCUAUUGAGGGGCCGCCAUGGUUGUCGGUGUCAAAACCGGCGGAUCUCGGGUAG
rnacentral:rRNA from 1 species